UGUAGCUGGCUGGAGUAACUGAUUCACACUAUAGGGCCAAACUGAACCGAACUGAACUGGGCUGGUUAUUCUUUCACCAUAGUAGCUGGAACCGUGCUGGAAAGGACAAUGUGGAAAUAAAAUAUCUGAGUCGGUACAGUACAGGUCAGCCCUAUAGUUCAGAUCAGGCAGAGGAAGAUAUAGGCUAGGAAGGUCUUCAUGGUUUCAGGAAAGAUAUAGGCUAGGAAGGUCUUCAUGGUUUCAGGAAAGAUAUAGGCUAGGAAGGUCUUCAUGGUUUCAGAGAAGAUAUAGGCUAGGAAGGUCUUCGUGGUUUCAGGGAAGAUAUAGGCUAGGAAGGUCUUCGUGGUUUCAGGGAAGAUAUAGGCUAGGAAGGUCUUCGUGGUUUCAGGGAAGAUAUAGGCUAGGAAGGUCUUCGUGGUUUCAGGGAAGAUAUAGGCUAGGAAGGUCUUCGUGGUUUCGAGGAAGAGGCUACAGUAGAUCUUUAUGAGCCCAGUGAAGAGGCACCUUGCCGGGCACGUUGGCUGUUCG